rnacentral:lncRNA from 1 species
ACCUUCAGAGUAAAAAAAGUAAAUAAAUCCAGAGAACAUACAAAUGUCUAAUCAUUCCCAAGACAUUAAGGAGAAUUAUUAGAAUUAAGUUGAAUGAAGCAGGAGAAACAGAAGGAAAUUCACCCUUGCAUUACUGAAGAUUGUGAAACAAUGGAGUCUUUUAUCUGCCAACUUCUAUUGAGUUUGCUAAGCAGGAAGCAAUAGAUGAACCCCAACACAUCAGAAUAGCUAUGUGCAGAAUGCUGCUAUCACAGCUGACAUCAGUCACAUCACUCAAGCUUCUUGAGAAAUGGGUUCAAUGGUGCUUGAGAUAAAGUGUAGAAAAAAUACAAACCAAAGGAAGAUUUUCAGGAAGCCAGAAAGGCUAAAAGGGGACAGAUCAUGUGGUGUCUGUCUUUCCCUCACACUCUGAGGGAGCACAGAGGUGAACCAGGAAAAGGAAGGUGUAAGUAAACUAGCAAUAAUACCGGACUGCCACGAAGCACUAAGAGAAGGAGGGUUGUUUACAUAUAAUGAA